rnacentral:rRNA from 1 species
GACGAACGCUGGCGGCGUGCUUAACACAUGCAAGUCGAGCGGUAAGGCCCUUUCGGGGGUACACGAGCGGCGAACGGGUGAGUAACACGUGGGUGACCUGCCCUCAGCUCUGGGAUAAGCCUGGGAAACCGGGUCUAAUACUGGAUAUGACUCCAUGACGCAUGUUGUGGGGUGGAAAGCCUUGUGCGGCUGAGGAUGGGGCCCGCGGCCUAUCAGCUUGUUGGUGGGGUGANGGCCUACCAAGGCGACGACGGGUAGCCGGCCUGAGAGGGCGACCGGCCACACUGGGACUGAGACACGGCCCAGACUCCUACGGGAGGCAGCAGUGGGGAAUCUUGCGCAAUGGGCGAAAGCCUGACGCAGCGACGCCGCGUGAGGGAUGACGGCCU